GUGCUAGGGGGGCGGCCGAUGUCCGAUUAGCUAGUUGGUGGGGUAAUGGCCCACCAAGGCUGCGAUCGGUAGCUGGUCUGAGAGGAUGAUCAGCCACACUGGGACUGAGACACGGCCCAG
rnacentral:rRNA from 1 species